GUAGCAAUACACUGCCAGUAAGGUGCUGCAUGACCGUCGUCAGCUCGUGCCGUGAGGUGUUGGGUUAAGUCCCGCUACGAGCGCAACCCCUAUCUUUAGUUGCCAACAGGUAAUGCUGGGAACUCUAAAGAAACUGCCGCCGUAAGGUGUGAGGAAGGAGGGGAUGAUGUCAGGUCAUCAUGGCCUUUAUGCCCAGGGCUACACACGUACUACAAUGGGGGAGACAAAGGGCUGCAACAUAGCGAUAUGAAGCCAAUCCCAAAAACUCCCUCUCAGUUCAGAUUGCAGGCUGCAACUCGCCUGCAUGAAGCUGGAAUCGCUAGUAAUCGUAUAUCAGCAAUGAUACGGUGAUACGUUCCCGGACCUUGUACACACCGCCCGUCACACCAUGGGA
rnacentral:rRNA from 1 species